UACGUAGGCAGCAAGCGUUGUUCGGAGUUACUGGGCGUAAAGGGUGCGUAGGCGGCUUUUUAAGUCUGGUGUGAAAUCUCCCGGCUCAACUGGGAGGGUGCGCCGGAUACUGAGGGGCUAGAGUGUGGGAGAGGAAAGUGGAAUUCCUGGUGUAGCGGUGAAAUGCGUAGAUAUCGGGAGGAACACCGGUGGCGAAGGCGGCCGGCUGGGGGUGGCCUGACGCUGAGGCGCGAGAGCGUGGGGAGCGAACCGG
rnacentral:rRNA from 1 species